rnacentral:misc_RNA from 1 species
AAAUAAUGGAGAAAAUAUUUAAUUAGAUGGAGUUUUUGUGUCACAAUGCAAUCAAUUUCUAUGAAUUCAGAAGAAUGAAAUAAUAAAUAAGAAUACCACUCACAUGAUAAUAGAUGAAAUGAAAGAGUCUGGUGGAUAUGCGAGAAGAGAGUACCCUCUUGGGCAUUUAAUCAAACGCUUUGCAUCUGGACGCCAAUCAGUGCUGCAUUCUCUUGAAUCAAUGGCAAGCAAUCCUAAACCCAUAUGCAGUCCGGUUGGGUAAAUCACUUCUUCAUGAAGAACAAAAAAAUACACCAAAAAGAAGAGUCAAAUUACAGGUUCUCCUUAUCAAUAAACCAACAAUUUUAAAUACUCCACUGAGAAUAGUUAUCUCGACAUGGUUUGCUAUAAAAUCUAGCACUAGCUGCAACUGAGAUGAUAAAAGAUGGGGAUAAUAUGUUGUCAAUUGAGAAUUAAAAGAAGGCUGAAUCUCAUACUGUAGAAUUGUUAUUUCUUUUUCAUCUUCAAUAAUAUAUAUUAUGUUCUUCAAUCUUUUAUAUAGCUUCUCCAAUACAAAGACGAAUUAGACCUUUCCUAUAUGCUUGUAGCAAUCUAAUCGUUUAUCUAAAAACCUCAAUUGAUCUCUCUUCAAUCUCCAGCCCAUUCUCAUCUGUUGCCCCUAACCACUUGGCCACUAUCUUUAGCAUAUAGACGCAGUCGCUCCAUCGCUCAUUUCGUCAAAGAAAUCGAGAAAGGAUCGAGGAGAACAGCCAUUAAAGAAAUAAAAUUGAAUUAGGAGGGAGAUUGCUGCAAGAUGAGGGUAGACAUAGUGAGAUUUGGGUUUGGAGAGUGUGGCAAAAGGAGAAAUAUUGUGAGAAAAAU